rnacentral:rRNA from 1 species
UACGUAGGGUGCGGGCGUAAUCGGAAUUACUGGGCGUAAAGCGUGCGCAGGCGGUUUUUCAAGCCAGACGUGAAAGCCCCGGGCUUAACCUGGGAAUGGCGUUUGGGACUGAGAGGCUAGAGUGUGGCAGAGGGGGGUGGAAUUCCACGUGUAGCAGUGAAAUGCGUAGAGAUGUGGAGGAACACCGAUGGCGAAGGCAGCCCCCUGGGCUGACACUGACGCUCAUGCACGAAGCGUGG